AUGAACGCUAGCUACAGGCUUAACACAUGCAAGUCGAGGGGCAUCAGGAAGAAAGCUUGCUUUCUUUGCUGGCGACCGGCGCACGGGUGAGUAACACGUAUCCAACCUGCCCUUUACUCGGGGAUAGCCUUUCGAAAGAAAGAUUAAUACCCGAUGGCAUAAUGAUUCCGCAUGGUUUCAUCAUUAAAGGAUUCCGGUAAAGGAUGGGGAUGCGUUCCAUUAGGUUGUUGGUGAGGUAACGGCUCACCAAGCCUUCGAUGGAUAGGGGUUCUGAGAGGAAGGUCCCCCACAUUGGAACUGAGACACGGUCCAAACUCCUACGGGAGGCAGCAGUGAGGAAUAUUGGUCAAUGGGCGCUAGCCUGAACCAGCCAAGUAGCGUGAAGGAUGAAGGCUCUAUGGGUCGUAAACUUCUUUUAUAUAAGAAUAAAGUGCAGUAUGUAUACUGUUUUGUAUGUAUUAUAUGAAUAAGGAUCGGCUAACUCCGUGCCAGCAGCCGCGGUAAUACGGAGGAUCCGAGCGUUAUCCGGAUUUAUUGGGUUUAAAGGGAGCGUAGGUGGACUGGUAAGUCAGUUGUGAAAGUUUGCGGCUCAACCGUAAAAUUGCAGUUGAUACUGUCAGUCUUGAGUACAGUAGAGGUGGGCGGAAUUCGUGGUGUAGCGGUGAAAUGCUUAGAUAUCACGAAGAACUCCGAUUGCGAAGGCAGCUCACUGGACUGCAACUGACACUGAUGCUCGAAAGUGUGGGUAUCAAACAGGAUUAGAUACCCUGGUAGUCCACACAGUAAACGAUGAAUACUCGCUGUUUGCGAUAUACAGUAAGCGGCCAAGCGAAAGCAUUAAGUAUUCCACCUGGGGAGUACGCCGGCAACGGUGAAACUCAAAGGAAUUGACGGGGGCCCGCACAAGCGGAGGAACAUGUGGUUUAAUUCGAUGAUACGCGAGGAACCUUACCCGGGCUUAAAUUGCAGUGGAAUGAUGUGGAAACAUGUCAGUGAGCAAUCACCGCUGUGAAGGUGCUGCAUGGUUGUCGUCAGCUCGUGCCGUGAGGUGUCGGCUUAAGUGCCAUAACGAGCGCAACCCUUAUCUUUAGUUACUAACAGGUCAUGCUGAGGACUCUAGAGAGACUGCCGUCGUAAGAUGUGAGGAAGGUGGGGAUGACGUCAAAUCAGCACGGCCCUUACGUCCGGGGCUACACACGUGUUACAAUGGGGGGUACAGAAGGCAGCUAGCGGGUGACCGUAUGCUAAUCCCAAAAUCCUCUCUCAGUUCGGAUCGAAGUCUGCAACCCGACUUCGUGAAGCUGGAUUCGCUAGUAAUCGCGCAUCAGCCACGGCGCGGUGAAUACGUUCCCGGGCCUUGUACACACCGCCCGUCAAGCCAUGGGAGCCGGGGGUACCUGAAGUACGUAACCGCAAGGAUCGUCCUAGGGUAAAACUGGUGACUGGGGCU
rnacentral:rRNA from 1 species